rnacentral:lncRNA from 1 species
GAUCCCUUUAGGCUCAAUCUCCUGAUCUAAACAGGCUAGACAAUAGCACAAGCGACCAGACCUUCUAAAAAAUAGUGCCUACAGGUUAUAUUCUCUCGGCAACCAUAACAUGAAAAAACUCUCAUGAUCCUCCCACACAAAAAAACAUGAACCUGUACAAAGAUGAAAACUCUCCAAACAAAUCCAAAAUCUCACAAACAAUGUACAGAGAUUCAAUCUCUCCAAAUAGAAGAAUAUCUCUUCAGAGUCCACAUACAACCAAAAUCUCAUGUUCUUCGAGGUCAACUUCAUUGUCUUCCUCCAGCAGGCACCAGCCGGCUCCGUCGAGCAAUCAAACCACCUCCAGGUACAAUCUUCAUGAAAUUAUAGAUCAGACCUAUUAAUGGACCAAUAAAACCUCAAUUAUGCUCUAGGCAGUGCUCAUCUAAAAAGAUUUGACAUGUUAGUUCAAAAGGUUGAUUAUGUACGAUAAUCAGACCUAUUAAUGGAUCAAUAAUACAUCAUUAUGCUCUAAGAAGUGCUCAACUAAAACCAUUUUACAUGUUAGCUCAAAAGGUUGAUAAUCUACAAAUAGGAAAAAACUAUCAUGUGUAUUCGAUAUUAAGUAAUGCAAUUCUAGAUGUCUGGGUUCAUGCUUUUACUCAUCUAGAGAAGGUUGAUGCGUGGAUGUUGGUUCGAACAUAUUCACAUUAGGAUAAUACAUACUCUAGAAGACUAGAACCAUACUGCAACUAUAACAUAAACAAAUGGGAUUGCUUGCUACGAUAUAGAGAAAUAUGUAUGAUGCAUCAGAUGGUUUUCAUAUCCGAUCAACCUUAAAUUCGAUAGUGGGUUCAUGUCUUGAUGCCACCAGCUCCAUCUGAGUUGCGAUAGUACGCAAAGCAACUACCUGAAAUGCAGAAACGGAAGUGUUAUAUCCAACGGAAUUCCUGAACAGUUUAACAUUUCCUGAAAUCCCAAAUCACGAGCUAAAAUUAAAAGUUAGCAUACCUAUGACGCUCCUACGUAAUAUCAACCAAAGUGUCGGGUUAUGCAAUGGUACAAGGAUGGCGACUAUUCAACUUGGAACAAGAUUUAUCGAAGCAUAGAUAAUAAUGGGAACACAUGUGGGAGAAAAGGUACACUAUCCAAGAAUAAUAAUGCCGCCAACUGAAUUAGCGUGGCCAUUUGUUCUAAAAAUGAGACAAUUUCCUAUAUCAUUUUGAUUUGCUAUGACUAUCAACAAAUGCCAUGGGCAAUCCAUAAACAAGGUAGGAUUAUAUGUACCAGAACAAGUUUUCGCACAUGGACAAUUAUACGUAGCCUUCUCAAGAGUCAAAAAAGGGAUGGACUAUGGGUAAUGGUAAAUGAUGAACAUAACAAUGAGGAUGAUGUGGUCACAAACAUAUCCUAUAAAGAAAUAUUCUAAUGGUAUGAACAAAUAACACAAUUUCAGCAUGAUGCCACUGGCCUCUUACAUAAGAAUUGCAUACAUAUAAAUUUAGUACACUGCAAAAUAUCCUUAAAAUAAAAUCUGACUUAACUAUCCUAACAUGAUAUGGCAGGUCGAAUAUGGUCUACUACCGUGCCAAAGUAUUGCAAACAUGCAUCCACACGUGAAAUAGUUCAGUACUACCAAACACCGACAAUGUAGAUUAUGUGAUACUUGAUUCUACAAGUUUAUUAUUUAAUACAAACCAAUAGUCAGAGCAUCAAGACAUUGUUAUAUUUCAUAUGUACAAUGCAAUCAGGCAUGUUUUCAUAUUCAAUUAUUAUAUACUAAUUUUUCAUUGCAAAAUAUUGCAAACAUGCAUCAACAGUUGAAAAUAGUUCAUGACAAACAAGCAUAGACAAUAUAUAUUAUGUGGCAUUCGAUUCUACAAGCUUAUUAUUUAAUGCAAACCAAUAGUGAGAGCAUGGGGGCAUUGUAAUAUUUCAUAUGUACAAUGCAAUCAGAUCAGUUCUCACAUCCAAUAAUUAUAUGUUAAUUCUUCUCUACGAAAUAUUUAAACUAUAGCCAAUCACAAAUGUACUAAUUGUUGCUUGAAUUUGUUGAAUAUUAAUAGGGGUAAGGCGGACUAACACUACCAAUGCCGGCCCCAAGCCCGUUAAAAAGUGGAGGGGGCAAAAACAAAUUAACUCUACACCUUAAGAUGUACUCCCUCCGUUCCUAAAUAUAAGUCUUUUUAGAGAUUCCAAUAAAAGACUACAUACGAAGCAAAAUGAGUGAAUCUAUCCUCUAAACUACGUCUAUAUACAUCCGUAUGUUGUUCAUACUGAAAUCUCUAGAAAGACUUAUAUUUAGGAACGGGGGGAGUAUUUCACAUUCAAAACUUACUAUCAUCAUUUAGUAACUUAGCCCUGAGUCAAUCAAUUGAAAAAAAGAGCAGCCAUUAUACACGAUGAUACAAUGAAUAUAUAUAGUACUCCCUCUGUAAACUAAUAUAAGGCGUUUUCGGUCACUACUAAUUUGCAUUGGUAUGUCUGCUCAGACAUAUAUUUACAUUUUAAAAUUUUCUCUAACUUAUUAGUAUCUAUUUUGUACCUCAGUCAACACUUAUAGACCACUUACAAAAUAAUCACAUGUUUUUUCAAGAUUUCAAGGAAAAAUGGUGAAAUAUUUAACACUAACAUGCAUUUUCGUUAAUUAUGUUAUAUUGGUAGCAACUCCGCCUAUGUCUUCUAGGCAUAGCCGGUCCCAAGCCUGGGUAAAGGAGGAGGGUUGUGAUAGGCUUGGCGAGCCAACGUAAAAACUAGCCAGUCCCAUAGGUAUGAAACCGAUUUGAGCGAGAGUAGUACUAGGAUGGGUGACCUCCUGGGAAGUCCUUGUGAAAGAGUUUCAUAUCUAAGGGUUGUGAUAGGCUUGGCGAGCCAACGUAAAAACUAGCCAGUCUUUUGGGUAUGAAACCCAUUUGCGCGAGAGUAGUACUAGGAUGGGUGACCUCCUGGGAAGUCCUCGUGAAAGGGUUUCAUAUCUAGCCUACCCCAACUUGUUUGGGAUCAAAGGCUUCGUAAGUAAGUAUAUUAUAUUGGUAGCAUCGCACAAAAAGGGGAAAAGGUUAAUAAAAAGGGGAAAUAUGACAGAGUCGGGAAGAGGAAAAAGGGGGACCUGCAGGUUGAACUUCGAAUAAUGUUGCUGUGAAGUGCCGAGCUGCCUCGAGCCGAUAUAUAGACGAUGCUUCUGGCUUGCGCUCUUGGGGAAGAAAACGCCGUCAGCAUCCUCAUACUAAAGCUGGAUCCAAGAGGACUGCGAGCCCGCAGGAGAUGAAAUCCAUGACCAAGUCGAUCUCGCUAUCUCCCUGGCGCAGCUAAUCCUUGAGGCCUGCUACCCUCCAUCGCCAUUUACAAGAGACCGAUGAGGCGUACGAGCAGCCAAACCAGCUGCCGUCGAUGCUAAACCUGUAGCAGAACCAGCUGCGGAGUGGAUUCAGGUGGAGGACGAGCAACCUCAAUGCAGCGAGUAAAGAAAGCAAACUGAUUGGAUCUGACCGGUAGCUGCAAUUUGUGGGUCAGCUGAGAGAAUAAGGAUAGGAGAAAGGGGAUCUCAGCGAAGACGAACAUUCUCAUUGUGUGAAAUAAUUAGGGG